rnacentral:rRNA from 1 species
CGGAGGAUCCAAGCGUUAUCCGGAAUCAUUGGGUUUAAAGGGUCCGUAGGCGGGUUUAUAAGUCAGUGGUGAAAGCCCAUCGCUCAACGAUGGAACGGCCAUUGAUACUGUAGAUCUUGAAUUAUUAGGAGGUAACUAGAAUAUGUAGUGUAGCGGUGAAAUGCUUAGAGAUUACAUGGAAUACCAAUUGCGAAGGCAGGUUACUACUAAUGGAUUGACGCUGAUGGACGAAAGCGUGGGUAGCGAACAGGAUUAGAUACCCUGGUAGUCCACGCCGUAAACGAUGGAUACUAGCUGUUCGGAGCAAUCUGAGUGGCUAAGCGAAAGUGAUAAGUAUCCCACCUGGGGAGUACGUUCGCAAGAAUG